CCUCGCCGUGGUUACCGUUGCCAGGGCAACGCGGCAGCGCUCGGAGGGUGAGCGGAGCCGGGCCCGCGCGCGCGGGAUGGGCCUUCACCUAGCACGAGGCCUACCACGGCCUCCAGCGCCCGGAACCCCAGUUCGGCGCUUUAGCGUCUGAGUUUGGGCUGCCGGAGCGGCGGGCGCGGGGCGAGGAGGCGGGCGCGGGCGGCGCUCCCACUGGGGUGGCGCUGGGGUGAGAGCGCUGGCUAGGCCCGCUCACUCGGCCGACCUGGGAGAGAUCAUCGGAGAAGCUCUUUUGGGAAACGAGCAUAAGGAGUGUGACGGUGAAGGGAGAAUAUCAUGGGAAAUGUUUGCAAAAGAGCCGGAUAAAGAGACUUUCCUUAGGGGAUGAGUGUCCCAUCUGAAUGGAACAGCCAGCUUUCAAGGAACAGGAAGGGGCAAGAGGGGUAUAACAUGGAGAAUCAGAAUGGACCAAUUACCGAAGACUUUCCUGAUUCCCUGGAAUCUCCUCCAGCACAUGAUAAAUCUAUAUGUCAGCUUAUUUUAAGAUGAUGAGGUGACGGCUUCAAUGAAGUUUGUGAACACCUAACCAGAGACAACAGAUGGAUGUCAGAUUAAAAGCAGCUGCAUUUCUGGAAUCCUGCACACAGAAGGCAAUUCAGAGGAAAUUUAGUUGGAUCCCCUGCUUUCUGAGCUUCUUGAAGACUCAACGAUGGAAAAGUACAUUCUUCGGUCCUACCAUAAUUCGUACUUCAAACCAGAAGAAAAUAAUCGUUUCCAGGAAAAACAAAAACAAAAAACAGUGAGGUUUCCUGCUUUAAAUGGGAGCAUUUGACUGAAUCUAAUCAGCGUAUAUCAGAUUGAACCUUUAAAGAAGGGCUACUAAGGGUGAGAUCUAACAAUAUAUCUCAAACCUCCUCAACAGCUUACUGAAGUCCCUAUGUGACAAAUGAGUUCUGCACUGAUAAAUCAAAAUUAUUAA